UCGGGGGUACUCGAGUGGCGAACGGGUGAGUAACACGUGGGCAAUCUGCCCUGCACUUCGGGAUAAGCCUGGGAAACUGGGUCUAGGAUAUACCGGAUAGGACCUUUAGGCGCAUGUCUUUAGGUGGAAAGCUUUUGCGGUGUGGGAUGGGCCCGCGGCCUAUCAGCUUGUUGGUGGGGUGAUGGCCUACCAAGGCGACGACGGGUAGCCGGCCUGAGAGGGUGUCCGGCCACACUGGGACUGAGAUACGGCCCAGACUCCUACGGGAGGCAGCAGUGGGGAAUAUUGCACAAUGGGCGCAAGCCUGAUGCAGCGACGCCGCGUGGGGGAUGACGGCCUUCGGGUUGUAAACCUCUUUCACCAUCGACGAAGGUUCGGGUUUUCUCGGAUUGACGGUAGGUGGAGAAGAAGCACCGGCCAACUACGUGCCAGCAGCCGCGGUAAUACGUAGGGUGCGAGCGUUGUCCGGAAUUACUGGGCGUAAAGAGCUCGUAGGUGGUUUGUCGCGUUGUUCGUGAAAUCUCACGGCUUAACUGUGAGCGUGCGGGCGAUACGGGCAGACUAGAGUACUGCAGGGGAGACUGGAAUUCCUGGUGUAGCGGUGGAAUGCGCAGAUAUCAGGAGGAACACCGGUGGCGAAGGCGGGUCUCUGGGCAGUAACUGACGCUGAGGAGCGAAAGCGUGGGGAGCGAACAGGAUUAGAUACCCUGGUAGUCCACGCCGUAAACGGUGGGUACUAGGUGUGGGUUUCCUUCCUUGGGAUCCGUGCCGUAGCUAACGCAUUAAGUACCCCGCCUGGGGAGUACGGCCGCAAGGCUAAAACUCAAAGGAAUUGACGGGGGCCCGCACAAGCGGCGGAGCAUGUGGAUUAAUUCGAUGCAACGCGAAGAACCUUACCUGGGUUUGACAUGCACAGGACGCGUCUAGAGAUAGGCGUUCCCUUGUGGCCUGUGUGCAGGUGGUGCAUGGCUGUCGUCAGCUCGUGUCGUGAGAUGUUGGGUUAAGUCCCGCAACGAGCGCAACCCUUGUCUCAUGUUGCCAGCGGGUAAUGCCGGGGACUCGUGAGAGACUGCCGGGGUCAACUCGGAGGAAGGUGGGGAUGACGUCAAGUCAUCAUGCCCCUUAUGUCCAGGGCUUCACACAUGCUACAAUGGCCGGUACAAAGGGCUGCGAUGCCGCAAGGUUAAGCGAAUCCUUUUAAAGCCGGUCUCAGUUCGGAUUGGGGUCUGCAACUCGACCCCAUGAAGUCGGAGUCGCUAGUAAUCGCAGAUCAGCAACGCUGCGGUGAAUACGUUCCCGGGCCUUGUACACACCGCCCGUCACGUCAUGAAAGUCGGUAACACCCGAAGCC
rnacentral:rRNA from 1 species